UACGGAGGGUGCAAACGUUGCUCGGAAUCACUGGGCGUAAAGGGUUCGUAGGCGGGUCUUUAAGCCGGGGGUGAAAUCCUGGAGCUCAACUCCAGAACUGCCUUUGAUACUGAGGAUCUUGAGUCCGGGAGAGGUGAGUGGAACUGCGAGUGUAGAGGUGAAAUUCGUAGAUAUUCGCAAGAACACCAGUGGCGAAGGCGGCUCACUGGCCCGGUACUGACGCUGAGGCACGAAAGCGUGGGGAGCAAACAGG
rnacentral:rRNA from 1 species